rnacentral:rRNA from 1 species
UGAGUAACCUGCCCUUAACUCUGGGAUAACUCCGGGGAAACCGGGGGCUAAUACUGGAUAUGACUCGAACAGGCAUCUGUUUCGGGUGGAAAGAUUUAUUGGUGGAGGAUGGACUCGCGGCCUAUCAGCUUGUUGGUGAGGUAAUGACUCACCAAGGCGACGACGGGUAGCUGGUCUGAGAGGAUGGCCAGCCACAUUGGGACUGAGACACGGCCCAGACCUCCGUACGGGAGGNA